GAAGAGAGACCCUGAAAAUAGAAGUUCUCCUGGCUGCAGACUGCAGUCCCAACAGGGGAGCCAUGAAGACACUGCCUGGGCCUUUGUUCCUGUUCUUGUGGCUGCAGUUGGACUGUGUGAGCAGAGGAGAGAAGGUAGAGCAGCGUCCUUCCUUUCUGAGUGUCCAGGAGGGAGACAGCGCGGUCAUCCACUGCACUUACACAGACAGUGCCUCCACCUCCUUCUUUUGGUAUAAGCAACAGCCUGGAGCAGGUCUGCAGUUGCUCAUGCAGAUUUUUUCAAGUAUGGAGAAGAAGCAAGACCAGAGACUCACUGUCCUCCUGAGUAAGAAGGACAAACAUCUCUCCCUGAACAUCACAGCUGCCCAUCCCAGGGACUCAGCCACCUACUUCUGUGCAGCAAGAGCACAGUGCUCCACAGGCACGUGUAUCCUGUACCAAACCUGCACUUGUCUCAAGUUUGAAACGAAGCUCCCCCUGGAGUUGGAUUAG